rnacentral:rRNA from 1 species
UACUGAGGUGGCAAGCGUUGUUCGGAAUUACUGGGCGUAAAGGGCGCGUAGGCGGUUCGUUAAGUCCUGUGUGAAAUCCCCCGGCUCAACUGGGGAACUGCACAGGAAACUAGCGGGCUUGAGUUCGGGAGAGGGAAGCGGAAUUCCGGGUGUAGCGGUGAAAUGCGUAGAUAUCCGGAGGAACACCGGUGGCGAAGGCGGCUCCUGGACCGACACUGACGCUGAGGCGCGAAAGCUAGGGGAGCAAACGGG